CUACGGGUGGCAGCAGUGAGGAAUAUUGCACAAUGGGGGGAACCCUGAUGCAGCAACGCCGCGUGGAGGAUGACGCAUUUCGGUGUGUAAACUCCUUUUAUAUGUCAAGAAAAUGACGGUAGCAUAUGAAUAAGCUCCGGCUAACUCCGUGCCAGCAGCCGCGGUAAUACGGAGGGUGCAAGCGUUACUCGGAAUCACUGGGCGUAAAGGACGCGUAGGCGGGUUGGAAAGUCAGGUGUGAAAUCCUACAGCUUAACUGUAGAACUGCACUUGAAACUUCUAAUCUAGAGUAUGGGAGGGGGAGAUGGAAUUAGUGGUGUAGGGGUAGAAUCCGUAGAUAUCACUAGGAAUACCUAAAGCGAAGGCGAUCUCCUGGAACAUUACUGACGCUAAGGCGUGAAAGCGUGGGGAGCAAACAGGAUUAGAUACCCCGGUAGUC
rnacentral:rRNA from 1 species